ensembl:lncRNA
GAUGGUAGACCAGGGUAAUAUAAUGACAGUAGAUGGUAGACCAGGGUAAUAUAAUGACAGUAGAUGGUAGACCAGGGUGAUAUAAUGACUGUAGAUGGUAGACCAGGGUAAUAUAAUGACAGGAGAGACCAGGGUAAUAUAAUGACAGUAGAUGGUAGACCAGGGUAAUAUAAUGACAGUAGAUGGUAGACCAGGGUAAUAUAAUGACAGUAGACGGGAGACCAGGGGAGAGUAGGGUAAUAUAAUGACAGUAGAGGGUAGACCAGGGUAAUAUAAUGACAGUAGAUGGUAGAACAGGGUAAUAUAAUGACAGUAGAUGGUAGUCCAGGGUUAUAUAAUGACAGUGGAUGGUAGACCAGGGUAAUAUAAACCAGGGUAAUAUAGACCAGGGUAAUAUAAUGACAGUAG